ACCUUCAACUGUUUAAACUGGUGUAAUUUGACUCGUUUGAUGGUUUUGGAGGACGGUUUCUCUAAGAUGGCGGUGUUGACCUGGUCGAGGGCCGGCGACAAGCUCCCAACCCUCACAUCCCCCUCCUCUGAGGCUGCGCCGCAGCCCGCGUCCGUCGUCACCGUCAUGGAGGAGGAAGAAGGACCGCGUCCAGCGACAACGCCGUUGCCUCCCCCACCCGCGUCGCUCCUCCCGCCUUCAACACCGCAGCAGUAGGAGCAGAAGAAGCCGGCGGCGACCAUAAUCUACCGCCCUCGUCAACGUCUUCUCCACCUUCGUCGCCAUCAUGACUACCGACAAGGUCGGCCGCUGCGCCCUCUUCCUCCAAGGCGACACCAAAAUGAUCAUCUUCCAAGCAAGCAAUCAUUUCAGCAAACACCUCACGCCAUUUCUCACCAUUGACCUUGAUUUUCUUGAUUUAAUCUCGUUCUGUCAUCGAUUGGAACUAACCAAAUAUCCCAUUUCUUGAUAGGAUUUGCAAAUCUUGGUAGGACGUUCAUUGGAUUGCAGUUUGGGCUGAGCGGGAUGGGGGCAAUCUCGAAGUAGUACAUGAACGAGGCGGAGCUCCUGAGGACAGCCAUCAAGUCCAUAUCGGCGGCGCCGGUGACGCUCGAGAGAGCAACAAGUCACGGCCCUUCAGCCACGACUUGGAGAAAGGCCCUCGCCCCCCAGCUGGAUCUAGCCCCAGCUCCCCGCGUAUGUCUGAAGGGGAAGAGAAAGUGGGAGAGAGAGAAGGGAGAGAGGAGGAGGAAGGGGAGGAGAGAGGAUAACAUGUGGGCCCUACAUGUCAAUGGGACCCUAAAAAUAAAUGACAAGUGGGUCCCGUAUAUAUAUUUUUUAAAUUCUAAA